GACGAACGCUGGCGGCGUGCUUAACACAUGCAAGUCGAACGGAAAGGCCCUGCUUUUGUGGGGUGCUCGAGUGGCGAACGGGUGAGUAACACGUGAGUAACCUGCCCUUGACUUUGGGAUAACUUCAGGAAACUGGGGCUAAUACCGGAUAGGAGCUCCUGCUGCAUGGUGGGGGUUGGAAAGUUUCGGCGGUUGGGGAUGGACUCGCGGCUUAUCAGCUUGUUGGUGGGGUAGUGGCUUACCAAGGCCUUGACGGGUAGCCGGCCUGAGAGGGUGACCGGCCACAUUGGGACUGAGAUACAGCCCAGACUCCUACGGGAGGCAGCAGUGGGGAAUAUUGCACAAUGGGCGGAAGCCUGAUGCAGCAACGCCGCGUGCGGGAUGACGGCCUUCGGGUUGUAAACCGCUUUCGCCUGUGACGAAGCGUGAGUGACGGUAAUGGGUAAAGAAGCACCGGCUAACUACGUG
rnacentral:rRNA from 1 species